AUUUUCAGUUGUUGUACAAAUGUAUUCUUUAGUUACACUCAUAAUACAUUUGAAUUCCUUCUACAAAACAUUCUGGUACAUGUGUACUAUCUUUUAUGGCUUAUCAUAAUUAUUAUUUAUUAUCAUCUGUUAUCUAUGUUUUGCAGUUCUACAUUCGUUUUUGUAUUUAAGUUUCAAUUGUAAAUUCCUUUCAUGUAUUUUGUAUAAAAAUGAAGUUUGUCUGUUAGUUUAUGUUUUGAUAGUUUCCACUUCUGAAUUACUCAGUGUUGUCCACGUACUAGUUGUUAUAUAAAAAUUGUCGUUCUCCUUAUGGUAUCUAGUAGUGACGUUUUGUCCUCCAACCAUUAUACAGAUUUAACUUACUAUUUUUUUUUAGAUGGCUGUACACCAGAUAUACUCAGGACAUAUUGAUACAUGAAUUACCAUUUCUACCACAUGGGAAAGUUUCAACAUCCUACGUUGAAAAUGGACUGGACGAUCCUGAUAAUAAUAAUAGUUUUAUGCAUAAUUGACGUAUGUCAGAUCAAUCAAGGCAUGCAGAAACAUGAAUUCACAUUUCUACCACUUAAGAAAGUAUUUACAUCCUAUGCUGAAAAUGGACUAGAAGAUACUGCUAAUAAUAUUGGGUUUAUGUAAUAUUGACGUAUGUCAGAUCAAUCAAGGCAUGCAGAAACAUGAAUUCACAUUUCUACCACUUAAGAAAGUAUUUACAUCCUAUGCUGAAAAUGGACUAGAAGAUACUGCUAAUAAUAUUGGGUUUAUGUAAUGUGCGUGUAAGGGUUAUUGAAUAUAAUUGAUAGUAAA